rnacentral:rRNA from 1 species
AUUGAACGCUGGCGGCAUGCCUUACACAUGCAAGACGAACGGCAGCACGGGUGCUUGCCCCUGGUGGCGAGUGGCGAACGGGUGAGUAAUACAUCGGAACAUGUCCUGUAGUGGGGGAUAGCCCGGCGAAAGCCGGAUUAAUACCGCAUACGAUCUACGGAUGAAAGCGGGGGACCUUCGGGCCUCGCGCUAUAGGGUUGGCCGAUGGCUGAUUAGCUAGUUGGUGGGGUAAAGGCCUACCAAGGCGACGAUCAGUAGAUGGUCUGAGAGGACGACCAGCCACACUGGGACUGAGACACGGCCCAGACUCCUACGGGAGGCAGCAGUGGGGAAUUUUGGACAAUGGGCGAAAGCCUGAUCCAGCAAUGCCGCGUGUGUGAAGAAGGCCUUCGGGUUGUAAAGCACUUUUGUCCGGAAAGAAAUCCUUGGCUCUAAUACAGUCGGGGGAUGACGGUACCGGAAGAAUAAGCACCGGCUAACUACGUG